rnacentral:rRNA from 1 species
UUCGCAAUGCCCGAAAGGGUGACGAAGCGACGCCGCGUGUGGGAAGAAGGCCUUCGGGUUGUAAACCACUGUCAGGAGUUAAGAAAUGCAAGGAUAUGAAUAGUGUCUUUGCUUGACUAAGGCUCCGGAGGAAGCCACGGCUAACUCUGUGCCAACAGCCGCGGUAAUACAGAGGCGGCAAGCGUUGUUCGGAAUUAUUGGGCGUAAAGAGCACGUAGGCGGCUAUGUAAGUCGGUUGUGAAAGCCUUCCGCUCAACGGGAGAACAGCAUCCGAUACUACAUGGCUUGAGUGCGGGAGGGGAGAGUGGAACUUCUGGUGGAGCGGUGAAAUGCGUAGAUAUCAGAAGGAACGCCGGCGGCGAAAGCGGCUCUCUGGCCCAUAACUGACGCUGAGUGUGCGAAAGCUAGGGGAGCAAACGGGAUUAGAUACCCCGGUAGUCCUAGCCGUAAACGAUGGGCACUAAGUAGAGGGGUUUU